AAGUCGUAACAAGGUCUCCGUAGGUGAACCUGCGGAGGGAUCAUUACAACGUAUCCAACGUAUAAACCUUUGUGAACUUUGUUUUAUAACACCGAAACGAAUCGAAUUGGUGAGAGAGGGUAAAACCUCUUGAGCUGUUCGACUCUUUCACUUUACUAUAAACCAUUUGCACUUUUAUUUGUAACAUGAGUAUGCAAACGCGUCGAAAGACGUGCUUUGUCAUAUUUCUUAUUAAAUUAAGAAAUUAUACGCACAACUCUUAGCAACGGAUAUCUAGGCUCUC
rnacentral:misc_RNA from 1 species